rnacentral:lncRNA from 1 species
UUUGAUUCGUUGACUAUAAUAGUCAUGACUUCGCUGUUUAGCCCGAAGGCGACACCUUUUGCAGCCUAAAUGGGUCCGAAAAACCCAAUUAUGCAUUCUCUUCUUAUCCCUUCAUGCGGCAGCUCUUGGGUGCCGCUUUACUUCCUGCCACCACUCCCAGAAAGUCACGACUCGACCAGUGGUGCGACCAUGAAUUUGCGCCUCGUCGUCUGGUCGCAGGGCCGCGUGGCCUUGUGUCUGAAAGGCCACGCGAUCGUGCGACCAAGAGGUUGUGCGAUUGUGCGGCUUGAUUCCAAAAUCCAAAUUUUAAUUCCUUUUUUAAACUGAAACCAAAUCUGAAAAUAAAAAAUUGUUACUUUAAUCUGAAUCGCG